rnacentral:rRNA from 1 species
AUGAACGCUGGCGGCGUGCCUAAUACAUGCAAGUCGAGCGAACAGACGAGGAGCUUGCUCCUCUGACGAUAGCGGCGGACGGGUGAGUAACACGUGGAUAACCUACCUAUAAGACUGGGAUAACUUCGGGAAACCGGAGCUAAUACAGGAUAAUAUAUUGAACAGCAUGGUUCAAUAGUGAAAGACGGUUUUGCUGUCACUUAUAGAUGGAUCCGCGCCGCAUUAGCUAGUUGGUAAGGUAACGGCUUACCAAGGCAACGAUGCGUAGCCGACCUGAGAGGGUGAUCGGCCACACUAGAACUGAGACACGGUCCAGACUCCUACGGGAUGCAGCAAUAGGGAAGCUUCCGCAAUGGUCGGAAACCUGACGGAGCAACGCCGCGUAAGUGAUGAAGGUCUUCGGAUCGUAAAACUCUGUUAUUAGGGAAGAACAAAUGUGUAAGUAACUAUACACGUCUUGACGGUACCUUGUCAGAAAGCCACGGCUAACUACGUG